rnacentral:rRNA from 1 species
GUAUAAGAGACAGCAGUCGCCGCGGGAACACGAAGGGGGCUAGCGUUGCUCGGAAUGACUGGGCGUAAAGGGCGCGUAGGCGGAUUGCGCAGUCAGAUGUGAAAUUCCUGGGCUUAACCUGGGGGCUGCAUUUGAGACGCGUAGUCUAGAGUGUGAAGGAGGGUCGUGGAAUUCCCAGUGUAGAGGUGAAAUUCGUAGAUAUUGGGAAGAACACCGGUGGCGAAGGCGGCGACCUGGUUCAUAACUGACGCUGAGGCGCGAAAGCGUGGGGAGCAAGCAGGAUUAGAUACCCCCGUAGUCCCUGUCUCUUAUAC